GUAAACGAUGUCUACUAGCCGUUGGGCCUUUGAGGCUUUAGUGGCGCAGCUAACGCGAUAAGUAGACCGCCUGGGGAGUACGGUCGCAAGACUAAAACUCAAAUGAAUUGACGGGGGCCCGCACAAGCGGUGGAGCAUGUGGUUUAAUUCGAUGCAACGCGAAGAACCUUACCUGGUCUUGACAUAGUAAGAACUUUCCAGAGAUGGAUUGGUGCCUUCGGGAACUUACAUACAGGUGCUGCAUGGCUGUCGUCAGCUCGUGUCGUGAGAUGUUGGGUUAAGUCCCGCAACGAGCGCAACCCUUUUCCUUAUUUGCCAGCGGGUUAAGCCGGGAACUUUAAGGAUACUGCCAGUGACAAACUGGAGGAAGGCGGGGAUGACGUCAAGUCAUCAUGGCCCUUACGACCAGGGCUACACACGUGCUACAAUGGUCGGUACAAAGGGUUGCUACCACGCGAGUGGAUGCUAAUCUCAAAAAGCCGAUCGUAGUCCGGAUUGGAGUCUGCAACUCGACUCCAUGAAGUC
rnacentral:rRNA from 1 species